UCAGCCGGCCGGGCGGCCGCUCCGGACUCCGGUCCGGGGAGGAAAGUCCGGGCUCCAUGGAGAGACGGUGCCGGAUAACGUCCGGCGGGGGCGACCCCAGGGACAGUGCCACAGAGAGCAGACCGCCCCAUGUCCGCAUGGGGUCAGGGUGAAAGGGUGCGGUAAGAGCGCACCGCGGACGCGGCAACGCGGACGGCACGGCAAACCCCACCGGGAGCAAGACCGAAUAGGGGCGACACGCCCGCCCGCGAGGGCUGGGCAGGCCCGCUCUCCAGGCCCGUCGCCCGGGUUGGUUGCUCGAGGCGGCCGGCAACGGCCGUCCCAGAGGAAUGGCUGCCGCGUCCGCGGUCCCCGCAAGGGGAAGCGGGCCCUACAGAACCCGGCUUACAGGCCGGCUGAUCCG
rnacentral:RNase_P_RNA from 2 species